GACAUUUUGGACAGCUUGGGGGCCUGCCCUGCUCUCCCCCGAAAGCGUGUGUAUAAUGCAUACAUCUUCUACCAGAAGUCUUCAAUCCCUGGGCUGGGCUGUACCAGUCUGGUGAACUCUAUUGUGAACUGCACAUUCGAGGGAUCUAGACUGUGUGCUACUUAUGCGAAUCUAAUGCCUGAUGAUCUGAGGUGAAACCGUUUCAUCCUGAAACCAUUCCCUGCCCCCACCCCACAGUCCACCCUCUCAAUCUAUGGAAAAAUUGUCUUCCAAGAAACUGGUCCCUGGUGCCAAAAAGGUUGGGGGCCACUCUUCUAGAGUGUAAUAAUGUUCUAAUAAUACUCAUAUUUGUAUAGUUCUUUAAAAAAUUACAACUCAAAAUUCAACAAGGGUUUCAAAAACAAGGUACAUAUAAAGUGGGGAAAUUCAGCUCAUUAAGAAAGAUUUAUCCGUUCUAUAUGUGUACAUCAACUCAUGUUUAAUGCUCCCAAAUAAUAAGGGUACUGUUUAUAUAACACUGUUCAUCUUUAGAGUGUUUCACUAAUAUUAUCUAAUUAAUAAGCAUAGAAAAAUCCUGCUGUGUCCUCCAAAGCUGUCAAAGUCAUUUCUAUGAUUUGAAGCCUAAUUAAAUUCAAAAUAGAUUUGUUUCUUCACCAUAAGAAUUUUGCAGCAAUUAAUUAAACAGUAUAAAAAUGUAAGAGGCAUAUUAUUUGAAUAAUUCUAAUUUCCGUGAAAUUCUCUAUGUUUCAGAUUUGUUGCCCAAGACUACCCAGAUCACUUUCUUAUCUCUAAAUUUUUACAACCAAUUUAUUUACCUUCUCAACUGGUAACCUAAACUUCUUAUUUUGCCUACGUAAAAGGAACGAUGUAGAAGUGAUAGGUCACACACACAUACUAAUUUAC
rnacentral:lncRNA from 10 species